GGCUGGGUUCGUUUCCCAGCAUACGCACCA
rnacentral:misc_RNA from 1 species